rnacentral:lncRNA from 1 species
CCCAGUUGAAUGCUGGAGGAGGAGGGUUUAGUGAAGGGAUGUAGGGUGUCCAAGUUUUGGGGUCUCCCAAGUUGAAUGCUGGAGGAGGAGGGUUUAGUGAAGGGAUGUAGGGUGUCCAAGUUUUGGGGUCUCCCAAGUUGAAUGCUGGUGGAGGAGGAGGGGUUAGUGAAGGGAUGUAGGGUGUCCAAGUUUUGGGGUCUCCCAAGUUGAAUGCUGGUGGGGGAGGGGGAGACAGGGAAGGUAUGUGUGGUAUCCACGUUCUGGGGUCUCCCCAGUUGAACGCAGGCGGAGGAGGGGGAGGAAGGGAGAGAGGUGGGGUUGGAGGGAAAGGGAAGGGUAGAGAUGGUGGUGUUUUGAAUGGUAAUGGAGGAAAUGGAAGUGAUGGAAAUGGGGGCAAUGGGGAAAAGGGAAAAGGCAAUGUUGGCAGAGGAGGUAGCCGAGGCAGAGGAGGUAGCCGAGGCAGAGGAGGUAGCUGAGGCAGAGGAGGUAGCUGAGGCAGAGGCGGUAGCUGAGGCAGAGGAGGUAGGGGAGGUAAAGAAGGCCAAGGGAAGCCAAAUGGUGGAAAGCAAGGCAGAAAGAAUUUUGCAGAAUUUAAGUCAUUUGGCAAUUCCUGUGUUUGAUCUCCACAAAUUGUGGUGUUCCUCUUGGAUGGUCUGUAGCUCAAAGCAUUCAAGUUGAAGAUGCAGAGGUUGUCCUGUUUUGAUUUCACCGAGAUGGCAUUAGUCGUCGUCUUCAAGCCAGGAACAUUGCAGGCUGAUGAUGAGCUCCCAAUCAACUUUGCCUGGCAAAGAGUCUGCAUUGUGUGACCUCCUAUGCAGUCAAUUCCAUCAACAGAUGGUAUUUCAAGCUUGUAAACCCCAUGUUUACCAGUAGUUCUAUUGACCGAGAAGUUGAUCUCUUCAUUGGUUCUAGCUGAAUUUACCCUUAAUUUGCAUUGAAUUUGAACCUCGACACCUGUUUACAUCUUUAAAUGUGAGUAAAAUUGAGUGAAACCACACAGCAGUUUUCAGUCUUUCUCAUUGUUCCUUACCUGGCAAGAAGUAGCUGUGCCUUGAGAGGGUGUUGUUGGAGCAGAUAUCACAAAAAACAGCACCAACUAUCGCGAUCCGAGAGAUGGGUUUUGUUGGAUGAGCCCCAAGGGGAAGUGGGUGAGCAAGCAAAGAUACAAAAACAGCAAGAACAAUCAUCAAAUCCAUGGCAAAAACAUAGGCCAAGACAAGCUUCUACAGAUGCAUCUAUGGGAAUGGUUGGUAAUCAAUGAAGAAGAAGAGCAUCCAAAGAAUUGUAUUAUUAUACUAGUAUACAGAAAGCAUUCUCAGAAGAUAAUGAGCCCGUGAGGAGUUGGUAUUAGGACCAACUGUAAUCAAAGAGCUGAGAAGCUUUAACUAUUUCACAAACAAACAAAGGCAUGUGAAGAGGCCCUUUUGGCCUCUUGUGUGGUUGUAAGUUGUAACCCUGUUGCAGAUUCACGGGUUUGGAGGCUGUGUGUUGAGUACCUAGACAGUGAAGGAAGUUCCCAAGAUUUAAAACAACUCCAUAGAAUGGAAGAUCAGAAUCAUUUGAUGUUGUCCUUUCACCUUUGAGGGUUGUCAAUGCUUUAUGUUCCUCUCUUUGUUUUGUGGUUACAUCCUGAUGGAAUGUUAUAAAUUAAAGGAUUGGAGUCACAAGACAAUGACUUCAUCACAUUUAAUCUCAACCACUAUUAUUUAGAAUGCACCUUUUUUUAACUCAACCCCCUCCCUGUCUAGAAUUUAGCUGUUGUUCGAGGAAGAAUUCAGAAGAUGCAAUAUAAUAGUUCUGCAGCAGAUUGUGUAAGGGAGUGUCCUGAAUAUUUUCACAGGUCAUGUGGGGUUUGCCCUUUAAAGUUUGAAUCAAUGUGUUGGAUGUGCAUAUGACAUGCCUACUCCCAUAACUCACACUCCAUUUCAUGUAAAUAUUGUCUGCUUUAAAUUUAACGGGUCACAAUCCUCUAUAUAGACAUGACACCAGAAGUCAAGCCAUGACACACAAGACAAAUACUGUUUAUAGGAUAGAUAAAGCCCAACGUCAAGUUGUUGGGUUUGGCUUUGAAGUCUACAUUGUACCCAUAGUAAUAUGGAUUCAAAGAGACAAAGACACCUUUCAAGAUCAAAGGAGCCCUACAUCACGGUGCGAUUUUGACUCUAAUAUUAUUUAUAGUGGUUGAUUUUCUUUCAUAUAGAUAUUAUUUAUUCCAGUUUAACGGGUCAUCACGACUUUAAAAUACAUUUACCCAACUAAGAAGAGUAGAAAUCAGAAACUUCUCCUAGUCAUAUGAGAUAUCACAUGCUUGCCUGAUCACCGAAUACCUAACUUGUGUUGUAGCUUGUCUUGACAGUGGAAGUGACGUAUAAAGCAGACAAACAAAAAGAUAAGGUUGAAGGUGUGGUUUUAUACUUUCAUAUGCAUUUCGGUGUCCUGUAUGUCAUGGCUUGACUUCUGGUCCUACACAAAGCCAAGCAUAAUUGAAGUGCCUCUAAAGAAGCAUAUAAGAUAAUUUAGGGCUAUUUACUAGCAAACUAAGCUUAGUAUCAUAAUUGGCCAGGUGAAAAUUUGUGGCUACAUGUCACUACAUGACAAAACAUGGUUAAACCAAGUUCUAUAAAACCAUCUUGAUGUGAGACUCUAAACUAUUGUAAACAAUUUUGAAGUUAUAGUAAAUCACAAAAAUCACUUUUGUACUUUCACUUGUUUUUUAAUUUAAUCUUUAAAUUUUGUUUUUUUUUUUUUAAGUCUAUAGUGUUAAUCUUAAAGGGAUAAUUUCACUCAUCUCUCUUGAGAUUUUAGCUAAAUAUAACUAGUCUCAUUAAUUAGAAAAUUCGUCAAAUACGUUUUUUAUUUUGAAUUAGAGGAAAGGUGAGUGAAAAUAUCAAAUGAGAUAGGGGAGGCAUGUGAUGAAAUUUCAAACCAAUCGGGCUAGGUGUAUUCAACCAAAGCUUCAAGGGAGGUCAAUAAAAUUAACCCAAAUCUUAAACUAUGUCCAAAUUUGGAAUGUGGGAAAAAAAAAUCCAAAGUUAAAUUGUUAAGCAGCAGGGUCGUGAAUGGACUGGGCUCAGGUUUAGAAGCGUGGACCUAGGGUUUUAGGUGCUAGUUGGGCAAACUUGAUACUUCAGGGCCUGAAAGUGGGGCCCAAAUCCCAAGGUCCGAGGUAUGUUAUUCCGACAUAUAGGGAAAGUCGAAAGAGGAGGAAAUGGAUCCAAAUUGGGCUAGGCCUUUCCAUGUUUUGGGCCUCUAGGCCCAAUUUACACCUCCACUUAUAUUUAAGGAGCUAUUUUUUCGGUUUCUUUUUUUUUUUUUUUUUACUUCUCUAAGGGUCUCGAUGAUUAUUUAUGUUCCAAGGUUUUGAUGGAUAUUUUUAUUAGACUUAAAAAUUUGAAAUAAGAGUAAUAUAAUUGCCCUAAUUCGGUUGUUAAACAAAUUUCUAUUAUCAAACACUAAAAGCAAAAUUCAAAGGUAAAAUGCAGCAUUUUAAAAAAAUUGAAUACAACUUUUCUUAUAUUUCUUCUAUUAUUAAAAAAAAAAAAAGUUGAAAUUUUUACUACUCCAUCCUUAAACAAUUCUCCUACCAUUGAGAUAAAAGAAAAUUGUUAAAAAGAAAAAAAAAAACAUCUUUUACAAGCACAGACAUAUAUACAAAAAGUUUAGGUUGAUAAUUGCUUUUAAAAAUAAUUUAAAAAAGAUUUUUAAAAACCAUUUUUUAAUAUUUUGUAAAAUAAAAGUUUGUUGAAUAACCUGAAAUAUUUUUAAAUAUAUUUUAAAAAUAAUUUUUAUAUUUAUAUCUAAUGUUUUAUUUUUAAUCAUUUUUAUGUUUGUAUAAUUAUUUUUGAAAACCACCCUUUAAAAAUCAACUUAAAAUACUUGAAAAAUGCUCUCAAAAAGUAAAAAAUAAUUUUUUGAUUAACAAGUGUUUUUUUUUUUCCUAUAAUAUAAAAUUGUUAUUUAAAACAACCACCUUAAGUGGAUAAAUUUUUUUUUUUCUCUCUUUUUCCUUUCAAUGAAUCCACAUUUUUGUGAUUAAUGUAGGUACAAUUCAGUAAAUGAAAUAUUUUUCUAAGAUAAAAAAAAAAAAAAAAAAUCAAUAUGAAAGUUACACAUGAGUUAUAUUUAUUAUUAUUAUUAUUUAACAUUAAUGCAUGCCCUCAAUUUCAUUAAUUUUAAAUAAUUUAAUUAAAUUACCUAUGGUAGACGUAUUAGUUCGAUCAUUCAUUUAAAUUCUAAGUCUUAACUUUCCUUUUCGCCAGCUUUUAGCUUUGAUUUUAUGAGCCUUUGACAAACUACCACUCAACCUUUCCAUUGACAAGCAAAGAAAAGAACACUCACCACUUUCUUUUCUGUUUCAUUUUUUAAAAUUUCUUGGGUCUAUACAGAGAUGGUGGCUUUGAUUUCAUAAUUAAUACCACAGAAUUACAUUGAAACAGAGAGGAAAAGAAAGUCAUGGAAAGAGAAACAAAAAUGGAGGUAGCUAGCUACCUCACUACUCCUCUUCUUUCCUGAUCAUGAUCAGUAUCAUCAAACCUUUAAGAUCAGAGCCAGAGAGCUCCGGCUUCCUUGAGGAGAGGGACCAGAGUCCCAUUGAUAUGUGAAGCCAUGACACUGUCCAUUGACCCCACGAGCUUCCCCCCGAUGAACACCACAGGCACCGCCGGAGAGUUCCCCAGCAGCCUCAUCAACGCCCGCUCAAUCUCCUUCCCUCUGGGGUCCUGGUCCAGCUCGUACACAGUCGGGUUCACGCCCAUUCCGCAGAAGAGCCUCUUCACGGCAUGGCACAUGCAGCAGGAGCUGAGGCUGAAGAUCACCACCGCAUUCUCCGACGCCAGCCUCGCCACUCGCUCCAGCGGAUCCGCCAUGACUCUCGCCGCCGCUGCCGCUGCCGCUGCCGCCGUAUAGUAUCCCCAAGAUUCGGAGUGGUGGUAGUACAUCUGAACAGCACGGGAGGCGUGGAGAGAAUGGUGGUGGGAAAAGGUAGGUUUAUAGUGCGGGUGUGUCGGGGGCAUUUUGGUGAUUCCACAUUUUGUCUCUUUGUUGUCGCAGCGCGUGCCUUGAUUUUUGCCUUAAAAGGAUGGCUGAAUGCAAAGAAAAGUACAAAAUUAUCAUGAUACAGUGGCUUUAAUGGAAGCAGUAGAAGGCGGCUAUGAGCAAUUGUGUACUCAAGAGAAUACGCACUACAUUAUACACAAAGGGAGAUGAUCGUUAUUUAGAGACAUGGAAAUAAGCUUUUUUUUUUUUUUUCCUAAGGGACAAGUCUGAGGGUUCAGAAGACGGCUGUCUCCGUCCUGUUGUCGGAGGUUGGCCUUUUAUUUUGUGUUUUUUUAUUUAUUUAAAUAUCAUCACCAGCACCAUGAUCAACGGUCAUCCUUCAACGACACUCGUGAUUUGACUUUGACCUCAUAUGGGUACUACAGGUGGACCCGCCAUUUGAAUUAAGAUUAGCCGUAGGUUCUUUAUGCAUCGUGGAAUGAUGGUGUUUGAGAAUGUUUUUAAAAUAAAAAAUCAAUUUGAAAACAUGGAAUACUUUCAAUAUAUUAUAUCUCUUGGAACUAUAUUUUAAAAAUAAGUAACGUUUAUUUUCUAUCAUCCUUCACAUUUAUACAAUUAUUUUUAAAAAUUGUUCAAGUGAAAAUAAUUAAAAAUUAUAAAAUAUGUUCUAAUAAAAUAUCCUAUCUUCAAAAUAAAUUCUUAAAAAAUUGUUUUUAACAAAAAAUUAUAAAACAUAUUCUCUAGUUUUAAAAAUUGUAAAAAAAAAAAAAACGUUUUUUAAUAGAAAUUUAUCAACCAUAUUUUCUUGUCUAAAAAAUAAUUUUUUUGUCUUUGAUAAUAAAAAUUGCUUUUUAAAAGAGUUUCAAACAACCAUAUAAAUUUUAUAUGAUAACUUUUCAAUAACUUAUUGCUUUCAGUGUAAUAUCAAAUUGAUACAUACCAAAAAGCUCAACUAAUAAGAUAUCACACGUACUUUUAAGUGUUAUUGUUUUGUACCAAGUUCAAUCUUAUUACUUCAUAUCUUAAUCAUAUUUUUCUACGUUUUGGUCAAAUUAUUUGUACUUUACCUUAUUCUUUUGUACUUUAGUCUUAUUAUUUGCAUCUUUGUCCAACAAUUUAAAUUUUAUCGUUCCACUUGGAUUACAUAUCCGGUAGAAAGUGAUUCAAUAUUCUAAAGUAUUUAAAUAAGCCUAAUAAAAUAUUUUGAUUUUUAUAUCAUACUAAUUUGAUCUAAAAGCUUUCAUUUCAAUCAUUUUGAUCCUUGAAAAAAUUUGAAGAAAGGAAACAAGAAAGGGAAAAAUGAAAAAUACUAAAAACUAAAAUUCAAACUAAUAAAUUAUUUUUAUAUAUUUUUUUUUAUAAAUUCAUUUUAUUUAGUUUAAAUCUUCUAUAUAAAAAUUAAAUAAUUUGAAAUAAUUAUUUUAUAAUUAAUUUUAAAUUUAAUCUUCUUUCAUAAUCAUGCCCAAUAUAAUAUGAAGGAAUAAUUUAUUUCACCUCCUCUAAGGUUUCAGUUAAUACAUCUAACUCUCAUACUUUUGAAAUUUCAUCAGUCAUUCCCUUAUCCUUUUCCUUUUUUAUUUUCAUUCAUCUUCUCUCUCACUUAAAAUAAAAGAGAUAUAUAAUAAAAUUUAACCAAAAUCCCUCGAAAGGUAAAUGAAAUUAAUGCAAAUAAGAAAAUUAUUUUAUUUAUUUUUUAUUUUCUUAGUAUUUUCUCGACAUAUAAAUGAGAUGAGAGAAAUAAACCAACCAAUCAUUAAAAUUAAAAGAUGGAUGUUAUGUUAAAUUAUUUAAUUUAUUAGCACAAUGAAGAAAUUAUUUAGUGAUAACAGUCUAUUCCUUUAUUAUGAACUUUACUUUUAGAUUUCUAUUUAAAUUUCUCAUCAGCUUUUAAGUGAUUUUGUUACUGCUUAAACUAUCAAUUCAUCAGCCAUUACUAAUAAAUAUCAAAUACUUAGAUUAUGUUGGGUAUUUAAACAAUAUUAAGAAAAAAGGGAAAAAGAUCCUAAAAAUAUAAAUUUUUGUCAUAUUUUCAAACUUCUUAGACUUCGAAUAUUUAAUGUUUAUUUAGACACUUAUUAUUUUCUAAUUUUAAAAUAAAAUAAAAAUAAUACUAAUUUUUAUAUAAGAAAUCAAAACA